rnacentral:sRNA from 1 species
AGGCUAUUACUAUAAACCAACAAGGCAGACUUAAUCCUGUGGAGUAGAACAUGAGCGAUAAAAUUGUUCACCUGAGCGA